rnacentral:rRNA from 1 species
UACGAAGGGGGCUAGCGUUGUUCGGAAUUACUGGGCGUAAAGCGCACGUAGGCGGCUUUGCAAGUUAGAGGUGAAAGCCCGGGGCUCAACCCCGGAAUUGCCUUUAAAACUGCAUCGCUAGAAUUGUGGAGAGGUAAAUGGAAUUCCGAGUGUAGAGGUGAAAUUCGUAGAUAUUCGGAAGAACACCAGUGGCGAAGGCGACUUACUGGACACAUAUUGACGCUGAGGUGCGAAAGCGUGGGGAGCGAACAGG